rnacentral:rRNA from 1 species
GACGAACGCUGGCGGCGUGCUUAACACAUGCAAGUCGAACGGAAAGGCCCUGCUUGCAGGGUGCUCGAGUGGCGAACGGGUGAGUAACACGUGGGUGAUCUGCCCCUUACUUUGGGAUAAGCCUGGGAAACUGGGUCUAAUACUGGAUAGGACCAUGCUGUAGGUGGUGUGGUGGAAAGAUUAGUUUCGGUAAGGGAUGAGCUCGCGGCCUAUCAGCUUGUUGGUGGGGUAAUGGCCUACCAAGGCGUCGACGGGUAGCCGGCCUGAGAGGGUGGACGGCCAGAUUGGGACUGCGAUACGGCGCAGAAUCCUACAGGAGGCAGCAGUGGGGAAUAUUGCACAAUGGGCGCAAGCCUGAUGCAGAGAAGGCGUGUGGGGGAUGACGGCCUUCGGGUUGUAAACUACUUUAAGAAAUGAAGAAGCCCUUGUGGUGACGGUAGUGGUAGAAGAAGCACCGGCUAACUACGUG